AGAGUUUGAUUCUGGCUCAGGAUGAACGCUGGCGGCGUGCCUAACACAUGCAAGUCGAACGGGUCAUGUAGCAAUACAUGGCUAGUGGCGAACGGGUGAGUAAUGCAUAGGUAACCUUCCCCUAAGUCUGGGAUAACCCUUCGAAAGGAGAGCUAAUACCAGAUACACUCUUUGGGUCGCAUGAUCCGGAGAGAAAAGUUUUUUCGCUUAGGGAUGGGCUUAUGUCUGAUUAGCUAGUUGGUAGGGUAAAGGCCUACCAAGGCGAUGAUCGGUAGCUGGUCUGAGAGGAUGGACAGCCACACUGGGACUGAGACACGGCCCAGACUCCUACGGGAGGCAGCAGUGAGGAAUAUUGCGCAAUGGGGGAAACCCUGACGCAGCGACGCCGCGUGAGUGAUGAAGUCUUUCGGGAUGUAAAGCUCUGUCGAGAGGGAUGAUAGUGACAGUACCUCUGAAGGAAGCCCCGGCUAACUACGUGCCUGCAGCCGCGGUAAUACGUAGGGGGCGAGCGUUAUCCGGAUUUAUUGGGCAUAAAGCGUACGCAGGCGGGACUUUAAGUCGAAUGUUAAAUCCAACGGCCUAACCGUUGUUCGCAUUCGAAACUGAAGUUCUAGAGAUCAGGAGAGGAAAGCGGAACUCACAGUGUAGCGGUGAAAUGCGUAGAUAUUGUGAGGAACACCAGUUGCGAAGGCGGCUUUCUGGACUGAAUCUGACGCUCAAGUACGAAAGCGUGGGGAGCAAACGGGAUUAGAUACCCCGGUAGUCCACGCCGUAAACGGUGUUCACUAGGUGUAGGAGGUAUCGACCCCUUCUGUGCCACAGAUAAUUCGUUAAGUGAACCGCCUGGGAAGUACGACCGCAAGGUUAAAACUCAAAGAAAUUGACGGGGGCCCGCACAAGCAGUGGAGCAUGUGGUUUAAUUCGACGAUACGCGAAAAACCUUACCAGGACUUGACAUCUGUAGAAGUCCCUAGAGAUAGGGAUGUGCCCGCAAGGGAGCUACAAGACAGGUGGUGCAUGGCUGUCGUCAGCUCGUGUCGUGAGAUGUUGGGUUAAGUCCCGCAACGAGCGCAACCCCUGUCCCGUGUUGCCAGCAUUUCGGAUGGGAACUCACGGGAGACUGCCGGUGGAAAGCCGGAGGAAGGUAGGGAUGACGUCAAGUCAUCAUGCCCCUUACGUCCUGGGCUACACACAUGCUACAAUGGCCGGUACAAAGGGUAGCAAGACCGCGAGGUGGAGCUAAUCUCAUAAAACCGGUCUCAGUUCGGAUUGUAGUCUGCAACUCGACUACAUGAAGUUGGAAUUGCUAGUAAACGCAGAUCAGCACGCUGCGUUGAAUACGUUCCCGGGCCUUGUACACACCGCCCGUCACACCAUGAGAGUUGGAAACACCCGAAGCCGACACGCUAACCCUCGGGAAGCAGUCGUCGAAGGUGGGUUCAGCGAUUGGGGUGAAGUCGUAACAAGGUA
rnacentral:rRNA from 1 species